rnacentral:rRNA from 1 species
AAAAUUCUAGGUAGAAUUAUGAUAAUGACAUUGUCUGCCUAUGUGUCUUGACCAAAUUACGUGCCAGCAGUCGCGGUAAUACGUAGAAGACUAGUGUUAUUCAUCUUUAAUAGGUUUAAAGGGUACCUAGACGGUAAAUCAAGCCUGCAAUAUGGGACUAAUGUACUAGAGUUACUUACGAGGGGGUAUUAAAGUACUGCUGGUGUAGAGAUGAAAUUCUGUCAUACCUCAUUUCAUAAGAAAUACUAUGGCACAGGUAUAGGCGAAAGCAUCCCCUUAUGUGAUAACUGACGUUGAAGGACGAAGGCUUUGUGUAGCGAACAGGAUUAGAUACCCCAGUAGUCAAAGCAGAAAAUGAUGAAUGUCAUAGAUUAGACAUAUAAUAGUUUAUUCUAUAAAUGAAAGUGUAAGCAUUCCACCUCAAGAGUAAUUUGGCAACAUUGGAACUGAAAUCAUUAGACCGUUUCUGAAACCAGUAGUGAAGUAUGUUGUUUAAUUUGAUAAUCCGCAAAAAACCUUACCACAAUUUGAAUAUUUAGAUUUUUGUUUCUUUUUUCUUUUUUUUGUGUUUGUGUUGCGUUGCAUUACGUUACGUUAGCAUCAAAAAUAAAAAUAACAAGAAGGGAAGAGAAAUCCAUUUACAAGCGUUGCACGGCUGUCUUCAGUUAAUGUCGUGAGAUUCUGGUUAGUUCCAUUAAUUAACGUAAACCCUUACUUUAUU